UUUAUACUGGGGGGGAAGGUGGGGAUGACGUCAAAUCAUCAUGCCCCUUAUGACCUGGGCUACACACGUGCUACAAUGGUUGGUACAACGAGUUGCGAGUCGGUGACGGCGAGCUAAUCUCUUAAAGCCAAUCUCAGUUCGGAUUGUAGGCUGCAACUCGCCUACAUGAAGUCGGAAUCGCUAGUAAUCGCGGAUCAGCACGCCGCGGUGAAUACGUUCCCGGGCCUUGUACACACCGCCCGUCACACCACGAGAGUUUGUAACACCCGAAGUCGGUGAGGUAACCUUUUGGAGCCAGCCGCCUAAGGUGGACAGAUGAUUCUGGCUCUGGCUCCGCGUGGCUGCGCUCCUGA
rnacentral:rRNA from 1 species